UACAGAGGGGGCAAGCGUUGUUCGGAAUUACUGGGCGUAAAGGGCGCGUAGGCGGCCUUCUAAGUCGAACGUGAAAUCCCCGGGCUCAACCCGGGAACUGCGUCCGAUACUGGAAGGCUUGAAUCCGGGAGAGGGAUGCGGAAUUCCAGGUGUAGCGGUGAAAUGCGUAGAUAUCAGGAGGAACACCAAUGGCGAAGGCAGCACUCUGGGACGGUACUGACACUCAAGUGCGAAAGCGUGGGGAGCAAACAGG
rnacentral:rRNA from 1 species